AAACCGACCCAACCGACCCACGAGGCUACAGCCAACAAGCAAACGUCCACUGCGCAUACUGCAACCUCACCUACGAACAAUCCGAAGACUCCGACACAAAACUACAGAUCCACAACUCAUGGCAUUUCUACCCUUGGCACAGAUGGUACUUGUAUUUCUACGAGAGAAUCUUGGGCAGUUUGAUCGACGACCCCACCUUCGGUCUUCCUUUCUGGAACUGGGACAAUCCCCCCGGAAUGGUCAUGCCCGACAUGUUCGCGGUAACCACUUCUCCGCUUUACGAUGCCCGCCGCAACCUGGAGCACCUGCCGCCGGCGGCGGCGGACCUCAACUUCGCCUCAAAGCCCACCACCGACCCCUCCAAGAUAGUUACCAACAAUUUGACCACAAUGUACGGCGAGAUGGUCCGGAACGUCUCCAAGCUGGAGGACUUCUACGGAGCCAAAUA
rnacentral:lncRNA from 1 species